GAGCACGUAGAGGUGGCGGAACCAGAGCAGCUGGCUGCGGUGGCAGGACAUGGCUCUCUGGAAGAAUCAGAGGACCGGUCGUGAGUGCUGGCGCCGGUGGUUGGUUUUUUUCACUCUGCUUCCUCUCCUUCAGGCCUCCUCCCACCCACAUACUGCAAGCUAUGGCCUGAUCUGGCUUCUGCUGUGCCCUUCGAACCCCUCUGGAUUGGACUCCCCCUCCCGUCUCCUGAUACCCGAUGGGAUAACAGCAGAGGAUGCUGAUGCAGCCGAGCACUACCUCAGUUUAACAACCCUGAGAGGAUACAGCAAGAAGAGAGCCAUCUGUGAACCAGUAAACAGGCCCUCACCAGACACCAAAUCUGCUGACACUCUGAUCUUGGACUUCUCAGCCUCCAGAACGGAUGCAUGAGCCAACAGGAAGAGGCCAAAGAGGAGACAACUGGAGUAUCAAAGAACACAAUGACUUAAACUGAAAAUCCGAACACGUGAACACAGAAGUUCCUAAUGAAAUAAAGCAGUGGCCUCCCCAUCCAAGAAACAAACAAACAAACAAUGGGUUACCAUCGGAGGAUUUAAGCUACCUGAAAAUUUUGUGGUGGUGAUAAAAAGUUGAAGAAGACGCAACGCUAGGGUUACUAUCAGACACUCCUGUGAGAAGCCGUCUUUAGAAUCACCUUUGAAUUCUUCCCCAUCUCUGUGUCUCUCCCUGUGUCUGUCCAUCUGCCUGCCUGUCUAUGUACCUUUCAGCUCCAAGCUACAGGCUUUGAGCACCUGCUUUGCAGUUAAACAGAUUUAGGACUGACCCUUCUGUAACCACUCAGAACAAGUCAGGUAUCUGGACACACUAUU